rnacentral:rRNA from 1 species
GAAGGUGUAUCUAGAAAGACAAAUUAGAGCUUGGAAAGUAAAGCAUUUCAUUUACAUUGAAAAGUAUAUUGUGUAAUUCAAUUUAAUUUGAUAAUAAUAAAAAUUUAUUAAUUUUUUUUGUUUAAAAAUUUAUUUAAUAAAAUUAAUUUUAGAUUGAUUUUUUUUUGUAUAGUAUAUAGGUCAAAUAAUUUAUAUAAUAGUUAAUUAGUAUUGUAAAAGAAUAUUGAAAUAUAUGAAAAAGUUUUAAAUUAAAAGUAAAUUUUAUAUAUUGUACCUUGUGUAUCAGGGUUUAUUAAUUAAAAGUUAAAAAUUAAAUUUUUCUCGAAUUUAAGAGGGUUAAUUUAUUAUUUAAUUUUUUGUUUCAUAAAAAUUUAAAAUAAUAAAUUAGAAAUGAAAUGUUAUUCGUUCUUAAAUAUAUCUAGUUUUUUAAGAAAUAAAUUAAAUUUAGAUUAUUAAUAGAUAAUUAGUUAUUUAAAUAAUAAAUUAUUAUUAAUAGUUAAUAUUUUAGGGGAUAAGCUUUAAAGUAAAUUUUAUAAUAAUUUUUUAAUUUGAAAAUUAUAGAUUUAGAAAUAGUCAUUAAUUGUAAAAAUGUUAUAAUUUAUUUUAAAUUAAAAAUAAUUUUUAUUAAUUUAAGUUUUUAUUAAAAUAAUUUUUAAAAUUAUAUAAGAAUUAAAAUAAUGAUAAAAUUAGUAUAUUUAAUUGUUUUAAAAAUAUUAAUUGAAAGGUUAAAUUAAGGAACUUGGCAAAUAAAUACUCGCCUGUUUAACAAAAACAUGUCUUUUUGAAUAUAAUUUAAAGUCUAAUCUGCCCACUGAAAAAUUUUAAAGGGCCGCGGUAUU